CCAAUAGCGUAUAUUAAAGUUGUUGCAGUUAAAAAGCUCGUAGUUGAACUUCGGAAUUUGCCCAUUGGUCAGGCUUAACUGUCUGCACUGGUGUGACGAGUUCCUACCUUCUGAGGAAUCUCCAUGUCAUUCAGUUGGUGUGGGGGGAAAUCAGGACUGUUACUUUGAAAAAAUUAGAGUGUUUAAAGCAGGCAUCCGUCUGAAUACAUUAGCAUGGAAUAAUAAAAUAGGACGGUUUGGUUCUAUUUUGUUGGUUUCUAGGAUCACCGUAAUGAUUAAUAGGGAUAGUUGGGGGCAUUAGUAUUCAAUUGUCAGAGGUGAAAUUCUUGGAUUUAUUGAAGACUAACUACUGCGAAAGCAUUUGCCAAGGAUGUUUUCAUUAAUCAAGAACGAAAGUUAGGGGAUCGAAGACGAUCAGAUACCGUCGUAGUCUUAACCAUAAACUAUGCCGACUAGGGAUCGGACGAAGUUAAUUUUUUAAUGACUCGUUCGGCACCUUACG
rnacentral:rRNA from 1 species